rnacentral:rRNA from 1 species
AUUGAACGCUGGCGGCAGGCCUAACACAUGCAAGUCGAGCGGAGCGGCGGACGGGUGAGUAAGGCUUAGGAAUCUGCCUGGUAGUGGGGGAUAACGUCAGGAAACGGGAGCUAAUACCGAAUACUUGCAGUUGCGCCUAGGUCGAUUUAGCUAGUUGGUGGGGUAAAGGCCUACCAAGGCGACGCUCCGUACCUGGUCUGAGAGGAUGAUCAGUCACACUGGAACUGAGACACGGUCCAGACUCCUACGGGAGGCAGCAGUGGGGAAUAUUGGACAAUGGGCGAAAGCCUGAUCCAGCCAUGCCGCGUGUGUGAAGAAGGUCUUCGGAUUGUAAAGCACUUUAAGUUGGGAGGCGUUACCAACAGAAUAAGCACCGGCUAACUUCGUGCCAGCAGCCGCGGUAAUAC